rnacentral:rRNA from 1 species
AUCUUGCGCAAUGGCCGAAAGGCUGACGCAGCGACGCCGCGUGUGGGAGGACGCCCCUCGGGGUGUAAACCACUGUUGCCCGGGACGAACACCCUGAAUUCUCAGGGCUGACGGUACCGGGUGAGGAAGCACCGGCUAACUCCGUGCCAGCAGCCGCGGUAAUACGGAGGGUGCGAGCGUUGCCCGGAAUCACUGGGCGUAAAGGGCGCGUAGGUGGCGCGGUAAGCGUGUGGUGAAAGCCCGGGGCUCAACCCCGGGUCGGCCAUGCGAACUGCUGGGCUUGAGCAUAGUAGAGGCAGGUAGAAUUCCGGGUGUAGCGGUGGAAUGCGUAGAGAUCCGGAAGAAUACCGGUGGCGAAGGCGGCCUGCUGGGCUAUUGCUGACACUGAGGCGCGACAGCGUGGGGAGCAAAC